rnacentral:lncRNA from 1 species
UGAACAAACAAUUCUGGUGAGCGGAAUAGGACACAUUUUGAAACCUGAUUCAGAGUGCAUUCCCGGUCACCCACAUCCUGAAGACGUGUCAGGAAAACCGCAAGCUUAAGGGCCCGUGAUGUGGGAACCAGUGUGUUCUCCAGUUUCACAGAUAAACGGUGAAGCUGUCAAGCCAACUUGCCCAAGGUCACUCGAGUACAAAACAGAGGAGCCAUAGAGUGAACCCAGAACACCCACGUGACACAGACCAGACGUGCACUCCUAAAGCUCAGCUCGCCAACGGCCUUGGGCUCGAACUCCCUAGCCAGAUGCAGUGACUGUAACUUAUAAACUCACACACUGACUGUUGGCAAUGCUCAGACCUUCGAGAGCUAAACACGGGAGUGCUUAUUUGAAGAACAAAUACUGGCAGAGGAAUUUUCAAAAAGGAGAUGGAGGAGGAGGAGAAUAAUUUCUUUUCUUUGUUCAUUCAACAAAUACGGACCAAGUGACAAGUAUAUGGGAUGUGUAUGGCAAUGCACGACACCAGUCAACAAAAUUUACACCAUCUUUGUGCCUUGGGGAGUGGGGCAUCUGGGAAGAACGCUCUUGGCCGGACUGAGGGCUCAUGGGUUUGCAUAAGGGAACCCUGUGUCACAGAGCCUCCUGAGACAGAUCCACCAAUUUCACUCAACAGGCUGGAGCCAACUGGCCUGAACAAGUCACAGUUCUGAAAAGCAGGCUCUCUCCCUGACUGAAUGCGAUAAUGGGAGCGUGUUCUCUUCUUGAUCAUGUCUCAACUAUUCUUGAAAAGACAAGCACCAACACCUUCCAGAAAUCCUGAGAAAUCACCAGGCAACCAUCCAAGACACAGACGGCAGCAGAGGCCAACUUAACCAUCCACACAGAAUGAAUCUAAAUAUCACAUGAAACUUUCUCUGCAAAUUAAGCGUUCUGAGAAGUCAAGCAACCACUGUCUUCUCCUUUCAUCUUCCGUUUCCUGAUCUUACCAGUGCAUCGGGUCAGGUGGUCAUAUAUGCUUAGCAGAACUGCAGGACACUGGACAUACUAUGGAGGCCUCAGCCUCUUUCUCUCCUGCUCCCUUGCUGUGGAGUAACUUCAUCCAUCACGCUGUCCUAGUGGCUUCUUCAGAUUAUCAAAGUUCCAAUAAUCGUCUCUAGGGGACAUGUCUCUAAAUGCCAUUCAGAAGUUUUAGCAUAAUUUUUAGUUGAUUCUCCCGAAUUUCCGAACACCAUGCACCCCAAACCCACUCAUUUCCCAGUCCUCCCAUAUCCUCCCUCCACCCUUGUAACCCCCAAAAGAAACAUUUUAAAAAUUAAAAAUUAAAA